rnacentral:lncRNA from 1 species
CCUGAAUUCGGGUCCUGGCUUUUUGCCUGUUGAGAAAUGUCACCCAAAAUUCUUCCUAGCUCUUAUACUGUGACUCCACUUUAAGAACUGAAGUCAACUGUGACUGCUCUGAGAACACGUGGAAGUUCUGGUGGGCCUCAGCAGAGAAACUAUAAAGAACCUACCAAACCCCCUGAAGCUCCAGGAGACCCAGUACUUUGAAAAGCUGUUGAAAGCAGCCUGUUUCAACCUGUCCCCUACAAAGGAAUCUACAUUUCCCGAAGCCUUGCUCCUGGACACCAGGGCCAAGAAUUACAGACCUAGAAGCAUAGAUCAUAGAAAUUGAAGUGACUUAUUUCAACACCUAAUUUAAAAUUGUUUUAUUGUAAGAAGACAGGCCAGCAGGUGCCUUUUUCAGCAUGGCAUGCUAAUAUGCCAUCCUUUGGGUCUCAGGAGAACAGCUGUGAAGCCCAGCUGUGGGUGGGUAAGUACUGUGGCUUGCCUGAUAGAACUAAGAUGCUUGCUUCGAAGGGAAGUGGUUUUGCUUGCCCUUUAAACCCUAGGUUCUUUUAACCAAAGGUCAGGGUCAAGUAGUAGAAUAGGUCAGUAAGUUAGUGGGUCAGGACCAGCACCAAAAGGAACCAAGAGACUGCACUGGGCUUAGCACGUGGUAAGCAGUCCGUCUCAAGACUUCAUCUCUGAACGGGGCUCACUGAGAUCCCACUGACAACUGUAUUUCUUACCAUGAGCUGCAGGAAAACACAGGGAUGAAAGCUAUUACUUUACGGCACAGGGAAGGCCCUAAACUAACUAUUUGCUGAGUAAA